UCACGUUGAAACACCGGUUACCGUAUGAUUACCGAAGUUAAGCAGUGUCGAUCAUGGUCAGUACUUAGAUGGGUAACCGCUUUAGAAUACCAGGUGCUGUAA